rnacentral:snoRNA from 1 species
AGCACUUGUGUUUGUUAUUGUUUAUCUCAUGUACAAAGACUUACACGGACAGGCGCAAAAAAUAAAUCCUCUUAUGUAUGAGUUUUGAUACAUAUAAGAAGGAAUAUU